GUGCUCGCUUCAGCAGCACAUAUACUAAAAUUGGAGCGAUACAGAGAAGAUUAGCAUGGCCCCUGUAAGGAUGACAUGCAAAUUGGUGAAGGGUUCCGUAUUUUA
rnacentral:snRNA from 1 species